rnacentral:rRNA from 1 species
UACGAAGGGGGCUAGCGUUGCUCGGAAUCACUGGGCGUAAAGCGCACGUAGGCGGAUUGUUAAGUCAGGGGUGAAAUCCUGGAGCUCAACUCCAGAACUGCCUUUGAUACUGGCGAUCUUGAGUCCGGGAGAGGUGAGUGGAACUGCGAGUGUAGAGGUGAAAUUCGUAGAUAUUCGCAAGAACACCAGUGGCGAAGGCGGCCUGCUGGGCAGUGGCUGACACUGAGGCGCGACAGCGUGGGGAGCAAACAGG